GACGAACGCUGGCGGCGCGCCUAACACAUGCAAGUCGAACGGAGUCAAGAGGAGCUUGCUUUUCUUGACUUAGUGGCGAACGGGUGAGUAACGCGUGAGUAACCUGCCCUGGAGUGGGGGACAACAGUUGGAAACGACUGCUAAUACCGCAUAAGCCCACGGAUCUGCAUGGAUCUGCGGGAAAAGGAUUUAUUCGCUCUAGGAUGGACUCGCGUCCAAUUAGCUAGUUGGUGAGGUAACGGCCCACCAAGGCGACGAUUGGUAGCCGGACUGAGAGGUUGAACGGCCACAUUGGGACUGAGACACGGCCCAGACUCCUACGGGAGGCAGCAGUGGGGAUAUUGCACAAUGGGGGAAACCCUGAUGCAGCGACGCCGCGUGGAGGAAGAAGGUUUUCGGAUUGUAAACUCCUGUCGUUAGGGACGAUAAUGACGGUACCUAACAAGAAAGCACCAGCUAACUACGUG
rnacentral:rRNA from 1 species